GGCUACAGCAGUGAGAAACUAAAAGCAAACUAAUAAAAUAAUUCUGCAAUGAUUCUACUCAUUGUCGCAUUGGAUACCUGAAUAUAAUAGUACAGCGAGGUUUAAUUUUCAAACGUAUUUCUCUCAAACUCAUUCUUAUAUUUUCCAUAAAUUUAUUUCCUUUCCUUCCCAUUCCUGUCUACACAAAUAGGCAUUUCCCCUCAUCUACUUUUAAUGAGGUUUUGUUAACUUGCCCAGGGUCAGACUAAACCAUUUAAUUUCUGCAUUAAAUGGGCUAAAGAAGUAUGUAUCUUCAGAAGCAUGCUGUUCUGUGUGGCACAGAGCUGUUUUCUUAAAGAUAAACCAGCUAAACUUGAGCACUGUACUUCAAGCUCACCACAUUUUCUGGAAAAGAAAAAAAUAAAAAUAAAAAUCACAGCUGUGCUCCCCCCACCUUUCUCUCUCUCUUUUUUUUUUUUUUUAUUGCAGUGGUUUCUUAUUCAAUCAUCUUCAUGAAAGUGCCAAGCAUUUCAGCAGUCCAGCCUUUCUUAAGACUUCCAGGGAGGAUUGGAAUGAGCCUCAUGGGGAAGAGCUUCCCCUGCAGUGAAUUCAUAAUUGUGCAUUACGGAAAUACAGAUGUUGGCAAUAGAAGAGAGCAAAACAAGAUCGUUUCCUUUCUUGCAUGUCAUGAGCUUUUUCAUCAUCAUUUCUGAAUUAUCCAGCAAUCAGUGUUAGUUCCAAAACAACCUCACAUGGUUCACAGUGCUUUUCCAUACAGAUUAAAUUUCUGCUUCAUGUUACUAACUGUCUUCAUGGACUGGGGAAAACAGAUAUGGCACCAGAGCCUGCCUCUCUCCAUUCUGAAUCACCAGUGAAGCCCCAUGAAGUGUCUCUGGCAGACAUGAAAGCAUUUGUCCCUGUCUCAUGACAGGUACACUUGUGAGAAAAGGUGCUGUUGCAUAUUCAUUCACCAGAGGUCAGCGUGGAGGAUAUAAACAGAAUGUAUUUAUAUGUACAAUACCUCAACUUUCUAAAGCGUUAUUUUAUCUAUUUCCUUCAUGAGUAUACAUUGUAUUGAAUAUGCAUGGGUCUGUAUAAAGCAUUCCUGGAGUCGUCUCCUCUAAGAGGUCAGGGUAGUAACCUUUCAUACACAGAAAACAGCAAUAACAACCAGCACAUUUUAUUAAUAUACUUUUAGGCUUGAAAAGUGAUGAAAGAAAAAUCUACGCUACUGUGAAGGAGAUGGGAGAGCAGAAAUUGGAAUACUGGACUGGGAUUACAUACCCAGCACUACACCGGGCUUCUGGUGACACAACAGUAAAUAUUCUAAAGCAGCCACCACUUUUUGAUUAUUGGCUAAAGACAAUAGUGGUUUGGCUCCCAGAGAUUUGUGUAAAUUGAGCAGCCCUGUAACCAGAACCUCUGAAAGGUGUGUAAAACAUAUAUGAAAUCUGAAACACACGUAAAGAGACUUAAAAAAUAUGGAGCUGGGCACAGGAGAAAAUCUGGACAUUCCUUUUCUGCGUUCUUCACUUCCCACAUGCAAAAUGAGUGACAGUACUUUAUAGGAGAUACUCUAUUAAGUUCACUGGUGGUAGAAAACAGCAUUUUACACAGAUAUACCAUUUGCAGAAGUGUAAUUUAAUUAUAAUUUCCUACUUCAAAAAGGGCUUGUUUUCAGCACGCUCCUUUGUUUAUGCAGUGCAUCCCAACCAGCAAAACUAUCUUGUCUUGAGAAAGUAGAGGUUAAAUGUAUUCAAUACAGCAGGAGAAUCUAACUCCAUCUCUAUUCUUUGCAAGACUGGUCUCUGAAGUAGCAAGGUAAAAGUUCUGAGUGAGAACCUAGUAACAUCUGAACAAAAUGCUUCUCUAAAAAAGAAGCAGCUCGAUCCUUUCUAGAUUGGUAGAUUUUCUUUAAAUAGGUCUAACAUAGCAACUAACUUUUCAGUUCAGAUAGGACAGAAGGCAUGUUAUAGAUUACUGUUACAUAUGUGGAAGAGUUAAAUAUAGGCAAAAAGGAUAACAAGGACACAAGGCUGUAAGGAUUAAAAAUAAAUUAAAAAAUAAUAUAUGGACA
ensembl:lncRNA